rnacentral:lncRNA from 1 species
ACAUCGACGCCCGCAUGACCGCGAUCAGCUUCUUCCUCCUUCCUUUCUCAACGUUGCCGCUUCCUUCUUGCCUCUGUUGGCCCCCUUCUCUCUCGCAUUCAGCUAGGGCACGCCACAGCCCAUCGCUGACAAGCACCGCUACCACCUACCUCUAAUCACUUUCUCAGCCCUUCGGCGUCCCACCUUCGGAUCCUUUGGCAAUCCCGUGAUUCAUGGGUGAAUGGUCCAUAAGGAAGGAAACGUAAGUUCCUUUCCUUAAUAUAUUUUUUUUCUUUAAUUUAUUUUCUUCUC